AAGUCUUGUCCCUAAAAUUAUUUUCAUUUUAAAAUGUUGGUAAUAUUACCGUAAUAUUCUUGAUUAUAAAAUAUAGUAACGAUUAACUUCAUCACAUAAAGUUACAAAUAAAUAGUAGGUCUACUUUAGGGAGGCAUAGAAUUAAUUUCUACGCCUAACACAAUGUCAAGUUCGCGCCUAGAGUUGAAUUAUGCGAUGAAUGACCUCGAUGAAUUAAGUUCCUAAGAAAGAGCGACAAUGUUAACGGUACAUCGGAAUCCUUCGGUAGGAAGCCAACAAAACUGGUCUCCAAUCUGGGUCACGACCUGCUUCCUACUCACCUACAGACCUAUCUACCUGACUGUCGGGCUCAGGUAUGCGCAACCUUCCUCGUGCCUACCUAAAAACUCUCCCUGGUCGUUCAUCUUGUUUUAAGCCACUUUCUUCCACCUGAUCGGAACCGAUACGCGGAAUGUGGACGUUAAAAAUUGUAAUAAAAGCUUCGCACGUCGCGAUGUUUAUCACUUCGACUAUUAAAGGCGCACUAGAACACUUAUUAACGAUAUUUUUAUAUAUUAACGGUCGCGUGGGUCAAUCGAGACCCACGCCUCACGAUUUCAAUGUUUCCAUAAAGAUGCUCGAAUAGUGGUUUAUUCGUGAAUUUAUUACGAACAAACGGUUCAAUGAAAUCAUUCGACAUUUUGUACACGUUUGUAUACGUGUCAGUCGAAAACAUCGAGUUGACCUUGAAAUGAUCCGUGUCAUUGCUCCUUUUGAUUUACCAAAACCCAAAUAUUUCUGUGAAACUUAUACUUUCGAAGAUAUCUGAGGUACUAAUUAUUGCCCCACCCUGUAUAUUCAAAUUUUUGAGAGUACCUUUAUAUGAAAAAAAAGUUUCAAGAACAAAAAAUUAGAAAAAACCUUGGCUAGACUAGACUCUCCCCAUGAAAAGAAGAGUUACAAGCUUAAAAUGAAAGACACAAAAAAGAAAAAGAAGAAGGUGUGCUAUAUGGUGCUUGAAUCGAUGAUUAACCAAUGAAACUGUGGCCUUCAGAAUGUACAUAAUCAACUACGUCUGAUGGUGAUCUUUGUAGCAGCAGGUAUCUUCCAUAUUUUCCGAGGAUAUACUUCGAAAAAAUUACGAUAUUUAUUGGAGUAUAUGUAUAAAACAUUCUUAAAGUUUUUUUUUUUCAGAAAAAAGAACUCAUAGAUAUCACUAAAAGAAUGUCCUAAACUGCACAAGUCCUAAAACUGUAUAUCUAUACAAAAAUGUAAUCCUAAGCUUAUUUCCUCGUUGAAUAAUGUUAAAGGAAGUUAUGUGGGCCAUGGUCGAGGACGAUUUCGUCCCGUGACUUUGGGUGUGGGUCAGGGUCACAGAUGAGAGAACUGUUUGGUACCGUCACGCGCGAUUAUACUCCGCACUCCGGGUCAGUGGCCUCAUUUUGUUUCGGACCGGCUGCUCGGUGAAAGGCGAGGAAAAAUUCCAACCCGGUCACACCUUUAUCGGAUCUCGUCUUGGAGUAAUGUAGAAAGUUAAUUGGCCGACGCGACGUCUAAUUAAGAGUUCCUCGACGCGCCUGUCUGCGCCGUUCGUUUACUCCGCGACGCAUUCUUCGACUGUGCCAUUCAUACAAAUAUUAGAAGCCCAAAUCAAUUAGCUCCAAUUUUAGAAUUUUUUUUUUCAAUUUUAGCAAUUGAAUCCUUUUCAAUUUUAGCGUCGAGGGACUCGAUCCUGACUUCCUUUAUUCGUAAUAAAUUUCCUUAAUGAUAAUUAUCAACAAUGCUAAAAGACAAUGUUUGGUUGGCCAUCAAAUAAAUGAACAGAUUUUUUGCAUUCAUAGGAAAUUUGAAUGUGCAAGAAACUACAAAAUGCGCGCAAUACGCAGAAAUAUAAUAAAAGAAAAAACAUUAAAAGUAAAGCGAAUAUUGUAAUAUCUGCAGAAGAUCUAAGUUUCGCAUCAGUUAACGAAAGUAUUUACGUAUGUAUUUAAUUCAUAAUGUAUCCCACAAAUUAAGUCUGAAAUUAACAUCUAAUUUUGUGAGUACUUUAAUAUCUGAGUACUUUAAUACCCCACACUUGAGUCCAGUACUUUACAAUAUGCCUGUAACGUGGAGUAAUUUCAAUGUCAGUUACGUUUGUGGACUCGUAUUCGAUGCUCUACGUGACUUACAUAUUCCGUGUCGAUUACUUUAACGUACGAUUGUCCAGUUACUGCCAGAUAUGGCAAAACCAUCCACCAAGCCUGUGCAUUGAAGUAACAAAAAAGAAAAGCAAGGAAAUUACAAGCAGAGGCUACUACUUCUACGAACGAGUGGCAAGACAUGCGGGGAUUCCCAGGUAUAAAAGAAAAAAACAUUCUGCGAGGAUUGUCGACCCUUUGGAACUAUUUUACCUGCGGUUA